CUUGAAAAGACUGUUUGGCUCUAUCGACUAGUUCAUCAAUUGGAUAACUCGCCAAAUUCCCUCUGGCAUGUUUAGUUUUGCAGUAGGUACACGCAUUGAGACACCUAGUACUAAUGGAAAUGAAUGAAGAGCCCAGAAGUAAGCCUAUGCGUAUACACUCAACUAGUACUUGACUCACUGAAUACUCAGUGGAGAAAAGGUUAGUCUAUUCAAUAAAUGUUGCCAGGAAAACUGGAUGCUCCCACGCAGAAGAAUGAAACAAGACCACGGUCUUAUACCACUCACAAGGAUUAAUUUGAAAUGGACUGAAGCCUUAAGUGUAAGACUGUAGAAAACCAUAAAAGUUCUAGAAGAAAACACAGGAAGAAACUUCCUUGACCUGGGUCUUGGCAAUUACUUUUCAGAUGUGAUACUUAGGCACAGCAACAAAAUCAAAAACAAACAAGUGGGACUACAUCAAACUAAAAAGCUUCUGCACAGCAAAAGAAAUAAUCAACAAAAUGAAAA